rnacentral:tRNA from 1 species
UCUCUAGUGGUCUAGUGGCUAAGAUUUCUGAUUUUCAUCCAGGUUUCCCAGAUUCAAUUCCUGGACAGGGAA